AUUGAACGCUGGCGGCAGGCUUAACACAUGCAAGUCGAGCGAGCGGCGGACGGGUGAGUAAUGUCUGGGAAACUGCCUGAUGGAGGGGGAUAACUACUGGAAACGGUAGCUAAUACCGCAUACCAUCAGAUGUGCCCAGAAGGGAUUAGCUAGUAGGUGGGGUAAUGGCUCAACGAGGCGACGAUCCCUAGCUGGUCUGAAAGGUUGACCAGCAACACGGGAACUGAAACACGGUCCGGACUCCGACGGAGGGCAGCAGUGGGGAAUAUUGCACAAUGGGCGCAAGCCGAAUGCAGCGAGGCCGCGGGUGGGAAGAAGGCCUUCGGGUUGUAAAGCACUUUCAGCGAGGAGGCGUUACUCGCAGAAGAAGCACCGGCUAACUCCGUGCCAGCAGCCGCGGUAAUUC
rnacentral:rRNA from 1 species